rnacentral:lncRNA from 1 species
CGCAGAUGCGCGCCCUGGCGUCGGGACUCCUUCCUUGGGGACCUGGCUUACAAAGGCCAGGCCAGCCCUGCACCGCGGUGUCUGCGACGGGCCACCGAGUGGGUCCCCGACCAAUGAACCCCAACUUUAGAGAGCAGUGGCUCCGGGGGUCCCGCGGGUCCCAGGCUCUCUGUCGCCUGCCCCGGGAGGCCUUUUCUUUCUUUGGGCCGACAAGGCGGGGUCAUCUACCGCGAAGACGAAAAUCUUUCCAGGAAACGGAGGAACUGGAGCUCACGAGCAGCCGAGGGACUGGCGCGCUGGAGGUCGUGGUGUGGUCAGCCACCGCAGGGACCCGCUGUGAGCCAGGAUCUCCUCCUAGAAGGAAGCGCAGCUGUCCUCCUGCAGGAGCGGCCAGCAGACUCCUCAGCCCCGGGAACCAACCGCAGCACCCACCCGGAGCUUGCUGGAUUUGCAGAAGCUCUUUCGGGGCCCAAGUGCCAGCUCAGUCUUUCUGUCUGGUCACAUGUGGGACAUAAAUCACUUUGUCAAAGCACCCGAGUUUGUAACGCCGCUGGGGCCUCUGUAGAUAAGCUUUGACUGGAGUGUAUGUAGGCUUCUGACCUGGGCUCGUCAAGUGCUAACUGACCCCGAGCAGGAAUUAAGUUCCUGUGUUGCACUGUCUUCCUCGGCAUUCUAGAGUCGUUUGCAAGGCGCUAUGGCAAUCUUCCUGCCCACGAUGGUUAAACCUUACCCUGUGCGGGGACUCUGUCCACCUCUGUGUGUCCUUCCUGUCCAGCCACCAGGUCACCAGUGCUGAGACAUGAACGGACAAAGGUGUCUCAACACCCGCUCCUCGCCUGCCUCCGCACGCACGCAAGCCUCCAACCUUCAGGGUCUCUUGGUAGCCUAGGAUCCAUGUACACCAGUGGGCCUGAGGGGAUGCUGUGACAGAAUUUGGUAUCUUUUUUGGGGGGGGGAGGGUUUCGAGACGGUUUCUCUGUGUAGCUUUGGGGCCUAUCCUGGCACUCGCUCUGUAGACCAGACUGGCCUUGAACUCACAGAGAUCCGCCUGCCUUUGCCUCCCAUGUGCUGGGAUUAAAGGCGUGCGCCACCAAUGCCCGGCUCAGGAUUUGGUAUCUUAAGAUAGGAUUUGCCAACUAGAAAGUCUUCCCAUAGCCCUUCUCCUGAGAAAAAAUCCUGAAAGGCCAAGUCCCAAAUGGAGUGAGUGUGAGACCCAUCGAGGGUGGCCUCUUUUCUGUCUCCUUGGAGUGCCAGGUGUGGAGACCUCUCCUGGACUUUCAACCGUCAGCAGGAGAUGCCUUUUGGAACCUAAAGUCCACAAGCAUGGCUGCCUCCUCAGCUCUGAAGCCUUCUUCGGGUUGUUUUCCUUCACACCCAAAAGGUACAACGAGGAGAAGGCCCUGUCAAAUAAAUGCUCUGGGUUCAGCUUGGGUGAGCCAGGAAACCCAUUGCCUUCCCUGAAGCCUGCUAGGUUGCUACGCACAGGUCCCUGGGAACAAUGAGGUAGCAUCAGCUAUUUCAAUGCAGAGUUAGGCACACAAUCCUUGCUAAAAAUAAAUACAAAGGAAAACCCCAAAGUAGCUAAGCCUAUUUUCAUACCUUUUUUUUUUUUUUUUUUUUUUCUUGCUUGGGGCUCUUUUGUCUUCCUCUUGUUACUUGGUGGCUGGCUGGUUUUUCUUCCAGGGCCUACCCUGGUCCUGGACAUGCAGCCAUAGGCAGAAACAGAGGGGAGAAAGGGGACAAUCUAAGGACCAUUUAUUUGAGUGAAAUUUACAUUAAGUGGGAUGAUGGACCCCUUUCAGAGAGAGACUUGGGGGAGCUCAGGGGUGAGGAUCUCCCUCCCCCUGAGCAGCUCUUCUAUGGAGAAAGGCUUUAUUUAUUUAUUUUUAUCUUAUAUACAUUGGUGUUUUGCCUGCAAGUAUGUAUUUGAGAAUCAGAUCCCCUUGAACAGCGGUUACAGACAGCUGUGAACUAUCAUGUGGGCACUGGGAAUUGAACCUGGUUCCUCUCAAAGAACAGCCCACAGUGCUCUUAACUGCUGAGCCAUCUCUCCAGUGCCUGGGGAAAGGAGUUUUGUAGAGCAGGGGAUGAAGCAUGCCUCACCCCAUAGCAGAGGACAAAUCUGAGUUUCUUUGGGCUCCUGGGGGCAUCACCUCAUCACUUUAGAAACAAAAGUGACAAAUUGUGAGGAUGACCCCUCCCUUUGUGUGAUCUAUUGAGGGGCAGUAGUGCGGAUUUUCUCUGCCAGCCUCUCCCCCACUUCUGAGGACCUCUGACUUGGCCAGGAGCCAGAACUGCUCCCAUCACUGGCUUGUUGAGGGAACUUGGGAGUUCCACUCCUGCUGAAACACGGCAUUCUCGCUUUUCUUGUCUGUCUCACUGCUGCUGAGCCCACAGUGCCUUGGCACCCGCCCUGGGAAGACAGAAGUGAGCUUCUUCUCCCGGCGGGGAGGGGACCUGGUAACCGGUUAACGAUGGCAAUAUCCUAGGUACCCUAGGCUGGAAGAGUGCGAGUUAACUGGGAGCAGAGGGCCCAGCCUGGGCAGGGAGCUCCCUAAGGAUGAGGGAGGCCCCAGCUUCCCUCUGUGUCCCCUGUCCUA